rnacentral:misc_RNA from 1 species
AGCGCGCCCCGAGCUGAACGGAGCUCUUUUUGUUAUUGCGGUUGCUGAAUGUUUCUAUUGAAAUACUAUUUUCUCCGCAAUAAACAAAAAAGCGGGAGUGGAGCGCGGACAAAGGC